GCAGGUGUGGUCAGAUCACACAGCCACUUGGUGAAAAACUGGCCACUAACUUGAAGAACAAUCUCCAUGAGAGGUUUUCAGCUCUGGAGAAGGUCACUGCUCUGUCAAUGGCAACCUUGUUGGACCCAAGGUUUAAAGAGCUGGGGUUCUGCAGCCAAGGCUCUGCCCACACGGCCAUAGAGCGACUCACUAAAGAGUGUGCUGCAACAAUGCAGGCGCUACUUCCAGAGGCACAGCCACAGUCGCCACCUAGAGAAGGUCCUUAAGGUCAGCAGGAAGAUGGUGGUCUCUGGGCCCUGCUGGACAGGCAUGUGGGGGUUCAACAGCAGGUGACCAGCACAACUGCCAGUGCAACAGUGGAGGUUCAGAGGUACUUAAAGGAACCUCACAUCCCAAGGACUCAGGACCCACUGAGAUACUGGGUUACCCACAAGGUUUUAUACCCACAUCUCUACAAGCUGGCAAUGAAGUUUUUAUGCACACCAGCUUCAUCUGUGCCUUGUGAGAGGAUCUUCUCCAAGGCUGGCGAAAUCGUCAGCCAAAGACGAAACAGGCUGAAGCCCAGCACAGUGGAGAAAAUUCUGUUUUUAAAUAAAAAUCUAUAACAUGUA